rnacentral:rRNA from 1 species
AGCGAACGCUGGCGGCAGGCCUAACACAUGCAAGUCGAACGAACCUUUCGGGGUUAGUGGCGGACGGGUGAGUAACACGUGGGAACGUGCCUUUAGGUUCGGAAUAACUCAGGGAAACUUGUGCUAAUACCGAAUGUGCCCUUCGGGGGAAAGAUUAAUCGCCUUUAGAGCGGCCCGCGUCUGUUUAGCUAGUUGGUUGAGGUAAUGGCUCACCAAGGCGACGAUCAGUAGCUGGUCUGAGAGGCUGAUCAGCCACAUUGGGACUGAGACACGGCCCAAACUCCUACGGGAGGCAGCAGUGGGGAAUCUUGCGCAAUGGGCGAAAGCCUGACGCAGCCAUGCCGCGUGAAUGAUGAAGGUCUUAGGAUUGUAAAAUUCUUUCACCGGGGACGAUAAUGACGGUACCCGGAGAAGAAGCCCCGGCUAACUUCGUG